AUGUAUAUCAGCUCAGUGGUUUGAGUAUCAAACUAUGACUUUGGAGAGCAGGGUUCGAAUCCCAGCUUGCAUU